rnacentral:rRNA from 1 species
AUUGAACGCUGGCGGCAGGCUUAACACAUGCAAGUCGAGCGGAGUGAUGGUGCUUGCACUAUCACUUAGCGGCGGACGGGUGAGUAAUGCUUAGGAAUCUGCCUAUUAGUGGGGGACAACAUCUCGAAAGAGAUGCUAAUACCGCAUACGUCCCGCGGGAGAAAGCAGGGGAUCACUUGUGACCUUGCGCUAAUAGAUGAGCCUAAGUCGGAUUAGCUAGUUGGUGGGGUAAAGGCCUACCAAGGCGACGAUCUGUAGCGGGUCUGAGAGGAUGAUCCGCCGCACUGGGACUGGGACACGGCGCAGACUCCUACGGAGGCAGCAGUGGGGAAUAUUGGACAAUGGGGGGGACCCUGGUCCAGCCAUGCCGCGUGUGUGAAGAAGGCCUUAUGGUUGUAAAGGACUUUAAGCGAGGAGGAGGCUCUUUUGGUUAAUACCCAAGAUGAGUGGACGUUACUCGCAGAAUAAGCACCGGCUAACUUUGUGCCAGCCGCCGCCGUAA